rnacentral:rRNA from 1 species
UACGAAGGGAGCUAGCGUUGUUCGGAAUCACUGGGCGUAAAGCGCACGUAGGCGGAUUUGCCAGUCAGGGGUGAAAUCCCGGGGCUCAACCUCGGAACUGCCUUUGAUACAACAAGUCUUGAGUUCGAGAGAGGUGGGUGGAAUUCCUAGUGUAGAGGUGAAAUUCGUAGAUAUUAGGAAGAACACCGGUGGCGAAGGCGGCCCACUGGCUCGACACUGACGCUGAGGUGCGAAAGCGUGGGGAGCAAACAGG